rnacentral:rRNA from 1 species
GACAGAGGUGCCAAGCGUUGUUCGGAUUUACUGGGCCUAGAGCGCAGGUAGGCGGGCGGAUGUGUCGGAUGUGAAAUCUCGUGGCUCAACCGCGAAACGGCAUCCGAAACUAUUCGUCUUGAGGCAGGUAGAGGCUCGUGGAAUUCCCGGUGGAGCGGUGAAAUGCGUAGAUAUCGGGAAGAAUGCCGGAGGUGAAAACGACGAGCUGGGCCUGUCCUGACGCUGAGCUGCGAAAGCCAGGGGAGCGAACGGG